UAGCUAGUUGGUGAGGUAAAGGCUUACCAAGGCGACGAUCUGUAGCGGGUCUGAGAGGAUGAUCCGCACACUGGAACUGAGACACGGUCCAGACUCCUACGGGAGGCAGCAGUGGGGAAUUUUGGACAAUGGGGGCAACCCUGAUCCAGCCAUGCCGCGUGAGUGAAGAAGGCCUUCGGGUUGUAAAGCUCUUUCGGCCGGGAAGAAAUCGCAUGGGCCAAUACCCUGUGUGGAUGACGGUACCGGAAUAAGAAGCACCGGCUAACUACGUGCCAGCAGCCGCGGUAAUACGUAGGGUGCGAGCGUUAAUCGGAAUUACUGGGCGUAAAGCGUGCGCAGGCGGUUUUGUAAGACAGGCGUGAAAUCCCCGGGCUUAACCUGGGAACUGCGUUUGUGACUGCAAGGCUAGAGUACGGCAGAGGGGGGUGGAAUUCCACGUGUAGCAGUGAAAUGCGUAGAGAUGUGGAGGAACACCAAUGGCGAAGGCAGCCCCCUGGGUCGAUACUGACGCUCAUGCACGAAAGCGUGGGUAGCAAACAGGAUUAGAUACCCUGGUAGUCCACGCCCUAAACUAUGUCAACUAGGUGUUGGGUGGGUAAAACCAUUUAGUACCGUAGCUAACGCGUGAAGUUGACCGCCUGGGGAGUACGGCCGCAAGGUUAAAACUCAAAGGAAUUGACGGGGACCCGCACAAGCGGUGGAUGAUGUGGAUUAAUUCGAUGCAACGCGAAAAACCUUACCUACCCUUGACAUGCCAGGAACUUGCCAGAGAUGGCUUGGUGCCCGAAAGGGAGCCUGGACACAGGUGCUGCAUGGCUGUCGUCAGCUCGUGUCGUGAGAUGUUGGGUUAAGUCCCGCAACGAGCGCAACCCUUGUCGUUAAUUGCCAUCAUUUAGUUGGGCACUUUAACGAGACUGCCGGUGACAAACCGGAGGAAGGUGGGGAUGACGUCAAGUCCUCAUGGCCCUUAUGGGUAGGGCUUCACACGUCAUACAAUGGUCGGUACAAAGGGUUGCCAAGCCGCGAGGCGGAGCCAAUCCCAGAAAGCCGAUCGUAGUCCGGAUUGCAGGCUGCAACUCGCCUGCAUGAAGUCGGAAUCGCUAGUAAUCGUGGAUCAGCAUGUCACGGUGAAUACGUUCCCGGGUCUUGUACACACCGCCCGUCACACCAUGGGAGCGGGUUCCGCCAGAAGUAGGUAGCCUAACCGCAAGGGGGGCGCUUACCACGGCGGGGUUCGUGACUGGGGUGAAGUCGUAACAAGGUAGCCGUAGGGGACCUGCGGCUG
rnacentral:rRNA from 1 species